GGUUUUGUUGGUGUUGCGGUUAUCACGUCUGCUUUACACGCAGAAGGUCCUGGGUUCGAGCCCCAGUGGAACCA